UACGUAGGGUGCAAGCGUUGUCCGGAAUUAUUGGGCGUAAAGAGCUCGUAGGCGGCUCUGUCGCGUCGGUCGUGAAAACUUGGGGCUUAACCCUGAGCUUGCGGUCGAUACGGGCAUGACUGGAGUUCGGCAGGGGAGACUGGAAUUCCUGGUGUAGCGGUGAAAUGCGCAGAUAUCAGGAGGAACACCGGUGGCGAAGGCGGGUCUCUGGGCCGAUACUGACGCUGAGGAGCGAAAGCGUGGGGAGCGAACAGG
rnacentral:rRNA from 1 species